rnacentral:rRNA from 1 species
UACGUAGGGGGCAAGCGUUGUCCGGAAUCAUUGGGCGUAAAGAGCGUGUAGGCGGACUGGAAGGUCUGGUGUGAAAGCCCGGGGCUCAACCCCGGAGGGUCACUGGAAACCAACAGUCUUGAGUCCGGAAGAGGAGAGUGGAAUUCCUGGUGUAGCGGUGGAAUGCGCAGAUAUCAGGAGGAACACCAAUGGCGAAGGCAGCUCUCUGGUACGUGACUGACGCUGAGACGCGAAAGCGUGGGUAGCAAACAGG